AAGUUGUGGGGUGCUGAUGCUCCAAACUUGCAAAAAUUGGCAAUUAGAAUCCUUAGCCAAACUUCCACCUCUUCUGGAUGUGAGCGUUGUUGGAGUUUAUUUGAUCAAAUACAUUCUAAGAGGAGAAAUAGGUUGGAGCAUCAAAGGCUCAAUGAUCUUGUAUUUGUUAAUCAUAACUUGCGAUUGAGACAUAGGCUUUACAACAAAAAGCUUAAUUUUGAUCCCAUUGAUUAUGCAAGUAUCGACAAAACUGAUUUUUGGGUAUUUGUGGAAGAGGAAGACCCGUAUCUUAAUUAUGAAGAGUUGGAGAAUGCAAUUUAUGAAGAGGGUGCAUAUCCAGCAAAUGUAGAGGCUUCUUCUAAUAUUGAAGGUUAGUUUAUAUAAUCUAUAGAUGAUAGCAGUGAGGUUGAAGGAAUUGAUUUGGGAACAUUUGGACAACCUAUUGGCCCUCCUCCUGGAUUUCCAGGGAAUGAUGACGAGUAUGAUAACUUUCAUGACAUUGAUGAUUUAUGAUCAUAAUAAUUCUGUUUGAACGUUAAAGUUCUAUUUUGUAUUUUAGAGAUAAUUUCUAUGUCUUUUUGUAAGACACAGUGUGUGACUUGGAGUUUGAAGUUUUAUUAUUGUUUUUUAGAACUAAGUUUUAUGUAUUUUUGUAAGAAACAAUGUGUAGUUGUGUACUAUAACU